rnacentral:rRNA from 1 species
GACGAACGCUGACGGCGUGCUUAACACAUGCAAGUCGAAGGGAGUGGCGAACGGGUGAGUAACACGUGAGUAACCUGCCCUUUUCUUUGGGAUAAGCCUGGGAAACUGGGUCUAAUACUGGAUGGAUUGGGAUGGGCUCGCGGCUUAUCAGCUUGGUGGUGGGGUGAUGGCUUACCAAGGCUUUGACGGGUAGCCGGCCUGAGAGGGUGCUCGGUCACACUGGGACGGAGAUACGGCCCAGGCGCCGACGGGAGGCAGCAGUGGGGGAUAUGGCACAAAGGACGGAAGUCUGAUGCAGCGACGUCGUGUGGGGGAUGAGGGCCUUCGGGUUGUAAACCUCUUGCGCUAUCGAACGGGUAGGUGGAGAAGAAGCGCCGGCUAACUACGUGCCAGCAGCCGCGGUAAUAC